GGGAGUAUAGCUCAGGUGGUUAGAGCGCAGCCCUGAUAAGGCUGAGGUCAAUGGUUCGAGGCCAUUUACUCCCA
rnacentral:tRNA from 2 species